UGCAGUCGAGCGAACGGACGAGAAGCUUGCUUCUCUGAUGUUAGCGGCGGACGGGUGAGUAACACGUGGAUAACCUACCUAUAAGACUGGGAUAACUUCGGGAAACCGGAGCUAAUACCGGAUAAUAUUUUGAACCGCAUGGUUCAAAAGUGAAAGACGGUCUUGCUGUCACUUAUAGAUGGAUCCGCGCUGCAUUAGCUAGUUGGUAAGGUAACGGCUUACCAAGGCAACGAUGCAUAGCCGACCUGAGAGGGUGAUCGGCCACACUGGAACUGAGACACGGUCCAGACUCCUACGGGAGGCAGCAGUAGGGAAUCUUCCGCAAUGGGCGAAAGCCUGACGGAGCAACGCCGCGUGAGUGAUGAAGGUCUUCGGAUCGUAAAACUCUGUUAUUAGGGAAGAACAUAUGUGUAAGUAACUGUGCACAUCUUGACGGUACCUAAUCAGAAAGCCACGGCUAACUACGUGCCAGCAGCCGCGGUAAUACGUAGGUGGCAAGCGUUAUCCGGAAUUAUUGGGCGUAAAGCGCGCGUAGGCGGUUUUUUAAGUCUGAUGUGAAAGCCCACGGCUCAACCGUGGAGGGUCAUUGGAAACUGGAAAACUUGAGUGCAGAAGAGGAAAGUGGAAUUCCAUGUGUAGCGGUGAAAUGCGCAGAGAUAUGGAGGAACACCAGUGGCGAAGGCGACUUUCUGGUCUGUAACUGACGCUGAUGUGCGAAAGCGUGGGGAUCAAACAGGAUUAGAUACCCUGGUAGUCCACGCCGUAAACGAUGAGUGCUAAGUGUUAGGGGGUUUCCGCCCCUUAGUGCUGCAGCUAACGCAUUAAGCACUCCGCCUGGGGAGUACGACCGCAAGGUUGAAACUCAAAGGAAUUGACGGGGACCCGCACAAGCGGUGGAGCAUGUGGUUUAAUUCGAAGCAACGCGAAGAACCUUACCAAAUCUUGACAUCCUUUGACAACUCUAGAGAUAGAGCUUUCCCCUUCGGGGGACAAAGUGACAGGUGGUGCAUGGUUGUCGUCAGCUCGUGUCGUGAGAUGUUGGGUUAAGUCCCGCAACGAGCGCAACCCUUAAGCUUAGUUGCCAUCAUUAAGUUGGGCACUCUAAGUUGACUGCCGGUGACAAACCGGAGGAAGGUGGGGAUGACGUCAAAUCAUCAUGCCCCUUAUGAUUUGGGCUACACACGUGCUACAAUGGACAAUACAAAGGGCAGCGAAACCGCGAGGUCAAGCAAAUCCCAUAAAGUUGUUCUCAGUUCGGAUUGUAGUCUGCAACUCGACUACAUGAAGCUGGAAUCGCUAGUAAUCGUAGAUCAGCAUGCUACGGUGAAUACGUUCCCGGGUCUUGUACACACCGCCCGUCACACCACGAGAGUUUGUAACACCCGAAGCCGGUGGAGUAACCUUUU
rnacentral:rRNA from 1 species